AUGAACGCUAGCGGCAGGCUUAAUACAUGCAAGUUGAGGGGCAGCAUGAUAUACGCGAGUAUAUUGAUGGCGACCGGCGGACGGGUGAGUAAUAGGUAGGAGACCUACCUCAUACAGGGGGAUAGCAUAGAGAAAUCUGUGGUAAUACCCCAUGAAGGUUAUAUGAAUAGAGGCAUAUAAUCAAAGCAUAAGCGAUUAUGCGGUAUGAGAGGGGCCUACUGACCAUUAGCUAGUUGGUGAGGUAAGGGCUCACCAAGGCGAAGAUGGUUAGGGGUUUUGAGAGAGAGACCCCCCCACAUUGGAACUGAGAGACGGUCCAGACUCCUACGGGAGGCAGCAGUAGGGAAUAUUGGGCAAUGGGCGAAAGCCUGACCCAGCCAUGCCGCGUGAAGGAAGACGGCCUUAUGGGUUGUAAACUUCUUUACUACGCGAAUAGAGGUUAGUACGAGAUACUAAUAGGAAGGUAGUGUAGUAAAAAGCACCGGCUAACUCCGUG
rnacentral:rRNA from 1 species